rnacentral:rRNA from 1 species
GUGCCAGCAGCCGCGGUAAGACGUAGGGGACGAGCGUUGUCCGGAUUUAUUGGGCGUAAAGCGCGCGUAGGCGGUUUGGUAAGUCGGAUGUGAAAUCCCGCGGCUCAACCACGGGACUGCAUCCGAUACUGCCCGACUAGAGGUAGGUAGGGGAGAUCGGAAUUCCUGGUGUAGCGGUGAAAUGCGCAGAUAUCAGGAGGAACACCGGUGGCGAAGGCGGAUCUCUGGGCCUUACCUGACGCUGAGGCGCGAAAGCUAGGGGAGCGAACAGGAUUAGAAACCCGCGUAGUCC